AAGUCGUAACAAGGUUUCCGUAGGUGAACCUGCGGAAGGAUCAUUAAAACGUAUCCAACGUUAACUAAUUGUGAACUCGUUUCCUCCCUUGGUAAUUGAGAAAUUGGAGCUGUGAUCGACAUUGAGUGGGAUUUUCCUUUUCGGAGGGGAAUCGGUCAGUCACAGUCACUUCAUAAUCUUUUUGGAUUGUGUGACAAUAGUAUCUUUUGCUGAGGAUUCUUUCUUUCUGUUUGCCAUCCUCCAUUCAAGGAUGCGGCAGUAAGAGUGUAUACUAACCAUUAUCACCCCCUUUUUUGCUAGUUGACUUUUUUAAUGUUGAUGUCUACGAAAGUAGAGAUUCACACGUUUCAUUAUUUGAACGUAAAAUACAACUCUUAGCAAUGGAUAUCUAGGUUCUC
rnacentral:misc_RNA from 1 species